CCGGCGCGCCAAGGGGGUGGGCCCCGCCCCGGCCCCGCCUCGCCCCCGCCCUCCCCCCCCCGCCCCCCCAAGAGCGGACCCUGGUGCACCCGCCGGGGAGCGGCGGCCGCGGCGGCGACCGCGCAAGCAACAGCUUGCAGAGCCCAGCGCCGUGUGACACGGCUCCCUGACAUUAGUGGUGUGAGUCAGCUUGGAAACAAUCCUCACGGUUUCAGACAGGACCACGGAGGAGGCACGGACACAGGCUCUCCAAGGAGGGCCUGGUAGCGUUUGAAAGAUGUGGGGAUGGGACAGGGGGGUGGGGGGCUGAGGGGGUGCCAAAGGGUGCGGGGAAGAGACUUUCUACAAACACAAAUGCAGAACGCUGCCCCCUUCCCCCACCAGCAGAUGUCCACCUCCUUUUUGCCUGCGACAGUCGUGACCUCAUUAGAGUGUUCCCUGAAUCCUGGCUUCCCAGAACACUCACUCGGCACCCCUUUUCACCAUCCCCUACGCCGCCUGACCUCCAAGGGAAUUAACUUCUUUACUGUGCACCCUCACAAGGAAUACACAGCCCCCACCCUUUCCAAGCCCCCUGCUUCGUGUGUCUGAGAAGCUGGAGGGGAGAUAGUUUCUCCAGGAGGCGAAAGGUGAAUCACAGCUAGAGCCAAGUGAUGAGCCUGAUUUAGACUCAACGUCAGAGCCGGAAGGGCCCUUGGCGAACACUUCCAGAGCCUCCUCUGUAACUCGCCCAAGCUCACAGGCUGGCAAGUGGCAGAGCCGGAGCCAGAAUGCAGGAUCCGGGCGUCUGAUCUGCAGUAUCUUCCUGACAGCUCCGUUGAGGGAGGGAGCCUGACGUUUUCAGCAGUGGACAGUCACCAUCCCCAUCUCCAGCUUAAUUUCCAUUCGGAUUUCUCCUUGUGACCAGGACUCAAAGGAUCCCUCAGAGCCAAAGUCCCAUGGAAACUGAAGUUCCCAGAAGCAGCCAUGAAGAGCAUCUCUAGGGGGGAGAAAAGACCAUGGCAUCCGAAGAACAAAGGAAUAAGAAAACCUGUCUUACUCAGGUUACAUCGAUGGGCUGGCCAACCAAUCACACACACUGCAAAUGACACUGAAGAUGGGGUAGCCCUCACUUCCUUUUCCUUUCAGUCUUUCCUUACUCGUGAGUAAACAGAAGGCAGAGUUCUGGCAGAAUGUGUGCACAUCUAGAACUGAAAUAAAGACAGAUUAAGUGAAAGAGAUUGACACCUGCUCUGAAUAAUGACCCGGAAUAACAGUGCUGUGUCAGCACACUCCAAAAUUUUAGUCAUUUCCUCAAGAUCAAUGGGAAGAGAAAUAAGCCGUAUUCUUUCUAAGUAGGGUGGAAGAUAAUUUUGAUGAAGACUUCCA